UUUGGUUGUGGCUCGUGUAUCACGUCACUGCCAUACGUGCGCCGAGACAUAUUUUACCGGGCGUUUGACAGAUGUUACUUUUUCGUGCCAGACAGUAUGUUAUGCGUCAUUAAUUACCAUUUGUCGAAUUUUUCAAAUUGGCGUUUCUGUGAUGUGCGGUGCGUUUAACCCAAGGCAGAAAGGGAGCUCGAAACAAUAAAUAAUCGAGAACUAGCUCAACAUUAGUAGAGUUAUACUGCUUCCCACUUCUGUGGAGAUAGAAUGGGCUUUACUAUAUGAAUGGAAUAAAAGUAUCUCCUCUCACACAAUAUCGUCGAACUCCAAAUCUUGGUUUCUAUUAAGUAAAUUAAUACUUGGAGG